rnacentral:RNase_P_RNA from 1 species
ACCGCAGACCGCCUUAUCGUUCCCGGUUUUAUCGGGAGAGGAAAGUCCGGACACCAAAGAGUAGCAUAGCGGGUAACGCCCGUCCGUCGUGAGGCGAGGACAAGUGCAACAGAAAGUAUGUACAGGUAAUGCUGUAGUGAAACCAGGUAAACUCUAUGCGGUGAAAUGUCAAGUAUAUCAGCAUUUAAGGGCGACUCGUCCGUUGUUGAAGGGUAGGCAGCUAGAUCCCGUUGGCAACAGCGGGACAAGAUAAAUGAUAAGGCUCCGAUGUAUCGGGGACAGAAUCCGGCUUACAGGUCUGCAUUUUUU